rnacentral:rRNA from 1 species
AGAGUUUGAUCCUGGCUCAGGAUGAACGCUGGCGGCGUGCUUAACACAUGCAAGUCGAACGGAGUAUAUUUAAAAGCUUGCUUUGUUAUACUUAGUGGCGGACGGGUGAGUAACGCGUGGGUAACCUGCCUUAUACCGGGGGACAACAGUUGGAAACGACUGCUAAUACCGCAUAAGCGCACAGUUUCGCAUGAAACGGUGUGAAAAACUCCGGUGGUAUAAGAUGGACCCCGCGUCUGAUUAGCCAGUUGGCGGUGUAACGGACCACCAAAGCGACGAUCAGUAGCCGGCCUGAGAGGGUGAACGGCCACAUUGGGACUGAGACACGGCCCAAACUCCUACGGGAGGCAGCAGUGGGGAAUAUUGCACAAUGGAGGAAACUCUGAUGCAGCCGACGCCGCGUGAGUGAAGAAGUAUUUCGGUAUGUAAAGCUCUAUCAGCAGGAAAGAAAAUGACGGUACCUGACUAAGAAGCCCCGGCUAACUACGUGCCAGCAGCUGC